AUUGAACGCUGGCGGCAGGCCUAACACAUGCAAGUCGAACGAGUGGCGGACGGGUGAGUAAUGUCUGGGAAACUGCCCGAUGGCGGGGGAUAACUACUGGAAACGGUAGCUAAUACCGCAUACCCUCGGAUGUGCCCAGAUGGGAGUAGCUAGUAGGUGGGGUAACGGCUCACCUAGGCGACGAUCCCUAGCUGGUCUGAGAGGCUGACCAGCCACACUGGAACUGAGACACGGUCCAGCCUCCUACGGGAGGCAGCAGUGGUGAAUAUUGCACAAUGUGCGCAAGCCUGAUUCAGCCAUGCCGCGUGUAUGAAGAAGUCCUUCGGGUUUUAAAGUACUUUCAGCGGGGAGGCGUUACCCGCAGAAGAAGCACCGGCUAACUCCGUGCCAGCAGCCGCGGUAAUAC
rnacentral:rRNA from 1 species